CAAGGCGGGGAAUAGCCCAGAGUAAAUUUGGAUUAAUACCCAUAAUAUAUUUGAUAAGGCAUCUUAUUAAUAUUAAAGCUUCGGCACUUGAUGAUGGGUGUGCGGCUGAUUAGAUAGUUGGCGGGGUAAACGGCCCACCAAGUCUACGAUCAGUAGCUGAUGUGAGAGCAUGAUCAGCCACACGGGCACUGGAGACACGGGCCCGACUCCUACGGGAGGCAGCAGUAAGGAAUAUUGGACAAUGGACAAAGUCUGAUCCAGCCAUGCCGCGUGAAGGAUUAAGGUCCUCUGGAUUGUAAACUUCUUUUAUAUGGGACGAAAAAAGGGCAUUCUUGUUCACUUGACGGUACCAUAUGAAUAAGCACCGGCUAACUCCGUG
rnacentral:rRNA from 1 species